rnacentral:lncRNA from 1 species
AACCUCUUACAGAGAAAGUCUCAGAUGACCAGAGUCCACAGUCUCAAAAUAUCACAGCCAAAGCCAGAGAGUAGAACUUUCCCAAGAGGUACAGAGAAUCCAGACAUCAAGUGGCUUGGAGCAAUGGCUCAGCCAGGAAAUCGCUUGCCUUGCAAACAUGGGGACAGGAGAUCAAUCCCUCAGAACUCACAUAAGGAGAAUCCUGGUAUAGCAACAU